GAUGAACGCUGGCGGCGUGCCUAACACAUGCAAGUCGAGCGAGCGGCGGACGGGUGAGUAACACGUGAUAACCUCCCUAUAUGACUGGGUUACCUUCGGGAACCCGGAGCUAUUACCGGAUACUGUUUUAUGGAUCCGCGCUGCAUUAGCUAGUUGGUAGGGUAAUGGCUUACCAAGGCUACGAUGCCUAGCCGGCCUGAGAGGGUGAUCAGCCACACUGGAACUGAGACACGGUCCAGACUCCUACGGGAGGCAGCAGUGGGGAAUAUUGCACAAUGGGCGCAAGCCUGAUGCAGCCAUGCCGCGUGUGUGAAGAAGGCCUUCGGGUUGUAAAGUACUUUAAGCGGGGAGGCGUUACUCGCAGAAGAAGCACCGGCUAACUCCGUGCCAGCAGCCGCGGUAAUAC
rnacentral:rRNA from 1 species